CACUGAGACACUGAGAGGAAAGAAUCCAAGAAGACCAAAGCAGUUUUUUCAGACUAAAAGAACUUCUGACAACAUCGAUGAAAAUGGCUGGUCUCUACUGGUUGGCGUUGGUCUUCUUCCUGUCAGCUGGAAACACUGCAGAUGCUGUGA